GGCGGCAUGGCAAAGUGGUAAGGCAGGGGACUGCAAAUCCUUUAUCCCCAGUCCAAAUCUUGGUCUCGCCG
rfam:Triticum aestivum genome assembly, contig: Triticum_aestivum_CS42_TGACv1_scaffold_307431_4AS